rnacentral:rRNA from 1 species
ACUCACGGUAUCAUAGACAAUGCGUGCGCAUUCCUUGUCUAUGAACCGAAGUAAAAAUAUGUCUCGUGCAGACAAUCAGCAGGAAAGACUUGCGCAGUCUGAAUUCGUUGGCUGGAUAGUUGGCUUUGUGGAUGGAGAAGGAUGCUUUUCCAUAAAUUUUCUUCGUCAACCGGAUCGGAAAGAAAAGACCCGGGUUCGAAGAGGAUACGCAACCGGCUACCAGGUCUUCUAUGAGUUUGCAGUAACUCAGGGAGUAAGUAGCAAGAAAGCAUUGGAGUCAAUGCGAGAUUUCUUCGGCGUAGGUAGUCUGUACCUCAAUACGAGAUACGACAAUCACAACGAACAUCUAUAUCGGUACGUUGUACGAAGAAAAGCCGACUUGCUUAACGUCAUCAUUCCGUUUUUUGAACGGCAUGAGUUACGAACAAAGAAAAAAGAAGACUUCAAGAAAUUUGUGAAGUGUAUGCGCGUAAUCGAGAAAGGAAGGCAUCUGGGAAUAUCCGGACUGACCUCCAUAGCUCGUACCGCUGGCACCAUGAAUCGAAAGAAGAACGGAGCAGUGCUAGCAAGAAUCCUCAGAGACCAUACGUCGAACACCUCUCGUAGGUGAAGAUAUGGUCCGGACUUCAUGGCGACAUGAAGAAGUGGGCAGAAAUGACCCACUCCGCGCCCAAAAACGCGGGUAACAGAUUCAAGCGCAAUUCCUUGUCGGGUAAAUUCCGACGUGCACGAAUGGUGUAAUGACUGGGGAACUGUCUCGAGGGCUCGCUCGGUGAAAAUGCAAUUCCGGUGAAGAUGCCGGAUACCUGUAGUUAGACGAAAAGACCCCAGGAGCUUUACUACAGCUUCGUAUUGGCCCUGCGGGAUUCAUGCGUAGCAUAGUGGGGAGACUUUGAAGCACCGGUUUCGGCUGGUGUGGAGUCGCCAGUGAAAUACCCAUCUUGAAUUUUGCAGUGUCUAACCGAGGUGGGAACCACCUCGGGACCGUGCGUGGCAGGUAGUUUUGGUGGGGCGCUAUCCUCCCAAAAAGUAACGGAGGAGUCUAUUAAGGUUCUCUAGGCGCGAAUGGAAACCGUGCCGAUAGUGUAAUGGCAUAAGAGAGCUUAACUGCGAGGGGUACAUCCCGAGCAGAUGCGAAAGCAGAGCAUAGUGAACCGAUGGUACGCCUUAGACGCGGCCAGAGAUUAACGGAUAUAAGUUACCCUGGGGAUAACAGGCUAGUUCCGCCCAAGCGUCCAUAGCGACGGCGGAGUUCGGCACCUCGAUGUCGGCUCACCUUAGCGCGGGGGUGAAGAAGCUCCCAAGCGUUUGGCUGUUCGCCAAUUAAAAAGGUACGCGAGCUGGGUUCAAACCGUUCAGCAUUUCACCGCAAGGUCGAACCUUGCGAUGGAGGAUUGAACGGUUUGAACCCACGAGGGAAUGUUACGUGCGUGGAGACGCAUGGUGCGAAAGACAUACUCACGGCGGUCGCGCGCAGGAAUGCGCGUGAAGAAAUCAACUAAUAUCGGUAGAACCCACACUCGUUGUGUACGAGCGGGCAAUACCGAGGGAAGUAAAGUUAAAAGAACACGCCCGUGUCGAUUACGAUACGUGCGCUCGUUCGGCGAAAUUAAGAAUAUGAGAUUACUCGCAUUCUUAAUUUGCCUUACUUCGCGCCCGUAGAGACUGAAUGUUGAUGCUCCAGAACGGAGUAAGUUACAGUCCGAUCCCCGCAGUAAUGCGGGCAAACUAGAUGCGUGAGACAGGUUGGUCUCCUAUCUACUACAGGCGUUGAUUCUUGAGGAGGGUUGUCCCUAGUACGAGAGGACCGGGAUGAACUGACCUCUGGUCUACCAGCUGUCGUGCCAACGGCACCGCUGGGUAGCUAUGUCGGGUUGCGAUAACCGCUGAAAGCAUAUAAGCGGGAAACGUGCUCCAAGAUUAGGAAUCGUUAUGAGGCCCCUCGGAGAUGACGAGGUUGAUAGGCUCUAGGUGGAAGCGCCGCAAGGCGUGGAGCCGUGGAGUACUAAUACGCCCAGUCUCUCGUGCGG